UUAUACUCCGGAGCGAUUUAUAAUCCGAAAAAUACGGUACAAUACUCGGAUUACUUUUUUCGCCUGGCUUAAGACGGUUUGAGUUGCACAUAAGAAGAAGAAGCCGAAGCCGGUGUGAGUGACGUCAAACAAUUUGUGACCAGUUCCCUCUCAAAAUGGCAGGGCAAAAAAGCACAGCAAAAUGAAAAUCUGAAGAAGAGCACAGGACAUUUUUAACAGAGUGGGAGAGUUCAUAUAUAUAUUUUUUUAAACGUAAUGGCAAGCCCUUCUGCCUUAUAUGUCAGGCGUCAUUAGUGCAUUUCAAAGCUUCAAAUCUUCAGCGUCACUUCAGCUCAACGGAAUACAAGCCAGAUUUGAAGAGGAUUGUCCACGACAAGGAAUGCCAGAAGUCCCACUAAGCAACAUGCAUAGGAUGGGGUGAUGUUCAUGUGUGCCCAUGUGUAGGAUGUGGCUCUUUGCAGUAACACAGUAAAAAUAAGUGGCUCUUAGUCUCUGACUGGUUGGCCACCCCUGAUCUAAUGUGUCAGGGCGAAGACAUUGCCGCACACCGAGAUCUCCCUCCAGACGCCUGGAGCCGGCUCAGACACAAACUCGCCCGCCGGAUGCAUCACCAGCACCCCGUUGGUGGUCAGGCCGUCCAUCAGGCCGUCUGACGUCCUCCACUUGGCGGCGCGCUCCUUGGAAAAAAAGAGGAGGCGGACUUGAAGUGCCCUUGGCAGUUCUGGGCGGAGACUCUCUCCCACACCUGCGGGCAGUUAGCAAUUAGUCCUUUUUAAGCCCUGCUGAGUGUCACAGCAUUGCCAGUUAUUGCCAGCUCCAAGGACAUUUCCUAUCGCUUGGCUCUCUUGUGAUUAUCGCUCCGCCUCCCGCUGGCUCCACGCACACUUGCCUUACUUGGCUUGUGUAGUGUAUUCUCCACUCCUUUUGAGUGUUUCUUUUGUUUAUUUUCUACUCCAUGGGUUAAAUCUACGAAAAGGGGUAGGAUUCAAUAAGCUCUGCUUCCUCCUACUCCUUUUUGGACAAGCUAUAAUGAAACAACUGGAAAUAUGUGAUGUAUUACAUUGUAAUAGUAUGUAUGUUCGAAAUAAACUGACACACACCAACUCUCCUUGUGUUUGUUUUUUCACCACUCUUGAGCGCACUUUUUGUAAUUAAACAUGAUUGUUU